GAACGCUAGCGGGAUGCCUUACACAUGCAAGUCGAACGGCAGCGCGGACUUCGGUCUGGCGGCGAGUGGCGAACGGGUGAGUAAUGUAUCGGAACGUGCCCAGUAGCGGGGGAUAACUACUCGAAAGAGUAGCUAAUACCGCAUACGCCCUACGGGGGAAAGGGGGGGAUCGCAAGACCUCUCACUAUUGGAGCGGCCGAUAUCGGAUUAGCUAGUUGGUGAGGUAAAGGCUCACCAAGGCGACGAUCCGUAGCUGGUUUGAGAGGACGACCAGCCACACUGGGACUGAGACACGGCCCAGACUCCUACGGGAGGCAGCAGUGGGGAAUUUUGGACAAUGGGGGAAACCCUGAUCCAGCCAUUCCGCGUGUGCGAUGAAGGCCUUCGGGUUGUAAAGCACUUUUGGCAGGAAAGAAAUCGCAUGGAUUAAUACUCUGUGUGGAUGACGGUACCUGCAGAAUAAGCACCGGCUAACUACGUGCCAGCAGCCGCGGUAAUACGUAGGGUGCAAGCGUUAAUCGGAAUUACUGGGCGUAAAGCGUGCGCAGGCGGUUCGGAAAGAAAGGUGUGGAAUCCCAGGGCUUAACCUUGGAACUGCACUUUUAACUACCGAGCUAGAGUAUGUCAGAGGGGGGUGGAAUUCCGCGU
rnacentral:rRNA from 1 species